ACGAUUAAAAUUUUAUUGCCUCCUUUAUUUAACAUAAUCACUUCUUUUAUUUUGCUUGUAUCCUAUAUAAAGUGGUAAUAGUCAUGAGCUUGAUUUGAAGUAAAUGAAAUAGAGAGAUUUCCCAAUUUUGUAUCGAUUGUUCUAUAUUCAAUCUUGAAUUAACGAACUUAUGGUUAUAAAAUUCCCAGAUCCUCCAGUCAAAUCAAAAGAGUGAGGCAUCAAGAUUGGCUGGAUUUCUUGACGCCAGAAAUGCAGUAAAUAAGCAGACUCCCAAAAUCCAGGCUUCUCAGUAAUGCUGUUCCUCUUGGUCCUGUCCUUGCUUCGAGUGUAGGUUGAGGAGGAACAUGAAAUGUCUCUUUCAAGGACACUGAUUUCUAAAUAGUUUUCUCUUUAUAUCUUCAUUAGGAGUGAUCCCUAUGUCAUCUAGCAGUUCACAAUAUUUCUUACAUAAUGGACUUCUUGGAGUUGGAUUUCUCCAGGUUACAGUACUCAAAGCUUCGUGUAAAAUAUUUACAAAACCAGAGGACUUCUUGGAGUUAUAUCUUGGUAAUUCAACGCGUAAUUCCAUUACAACACAUCUACCAAAUGUUUACCAACAGCUUUUACCUAUAUCAGAGUCAAUGUAUCAUUAUCAAAUGUGAUGCAAUAUUGAAGAGAUACUAUGAUAUUUAGUUUCCAA